GAUGAACGCUGGCGGCGUGCCUAAUACAUGCAAGUCGAGCGAACAGACGAGGAGCUUGCUCCUCUGACGUUAGCGGCGGACGGGUGAGUAACACGUGGAUAACCUACCUAUAAGACUGGGAUAACUUCGGGAAACCGGAGCUAAUACCGGAUAAUAUAUUGAACCGCAUGGUUCAAUAGUGAAAGACGGUUUUGCUGUCACUUAUAGAUGGAUCCGCGCCGCAUUAGCUAGUUGGUAAGGUAACGGCUUACCAAGGCAACGAUGCGUAGCCGACCUGAGAGAGUGAUCGGCCACACUGGAACGGAGACACGGACCAGGCGCCUACGGGAGGCAGCAGUAGGGAAUCUUCCGCAAUGGGGGAAAGCCUGACGGAGCAGCGCCGCGUGAGUGAUGAAGGUGUUGCGAUCGUAAAACUCAGUUAUGGGGGAAGAACAAAUGUGUAAGUAGCUAUGCACGUCUUGACGGUAACUGAUCAGAAAGCAACGGCUAACUACGUG
rnacentral:rRNA from 1 species